AUUGAACGCUGGCGGCAUGCCUUACACAUGCAAGUCGAACGGUAACAGGUUAAGCUGACGAGUGGCGAACGGGUGAGUAAUAUAUCGGAACGUGCCCAGUCGUGGGGGAUAACUGCUCGAAAGAGCAGCUAAUACCGCAUACGACCUGAGGGUGAAAGCGGGGGAUCGCAAGACCUCGCGCGAUUGGAGCGGCCGAUAUCAGAUUAGGUAGUUGGUGGGGUAAAGGCCUACCAAGCCUACGAUCUGUAGCUGGUCUGAGAGGACGACCAGCCACACUGGGACUGAGACACGGCCCAGACUCCUACGGGAGGCAGCAGUGGGGAAUUUUGGACAAUGGACGCAAGUCUGAUCCAGCCAUGCCGCGUGCGGGAAGAAGGCCUUCGGGUUGUAAACCGCUUUUGUCAGGGAAGAAAAGGUUCUGGUUAAUACCUGGGACUCAUGACGGUACCUGAAGAAUAAGCACCGGCUAACUACGUGCCAGCAGCCGCGGUAAGAC
rnacentral:rRNA from 1 species